CCUCAACAAUCAAAACUACACCAUCCAGAAAAAGCAUGCAAUUAGGGAUAGUCGAUUGUAUGCCCUUGUUAAGCACAUCCAAGAGACCAAGACUAAAUUAAAUAGGUAAGAACUAAAGGUUGGGCCUUGAUGUAGUCCUAUACUUUCAGGAAAUUCCUAAGUCUUGCUUCUUCUGGAUGAUGUAGUUUUGAUUGUUGAG
rnacentral:pre_miRNA from 1 species